UUAGAUUAUUUGGAGUUUUCGACUCGUCAUGAGUUAACCAUGUUUGCCUUUUUAUCUGAGCUAAUUGGUUGGGUGUCUGAUAUCUCAGAAGCACUUCAAAAUCUCUAUAAUCUCAUUUAAUGUGAGAUUAAUGCCAACUCAAUGAGUAGUGUUGAUUAUGAAACAGAAACUGGUCCAGAUUCCUCUCGUCCAAGAGUUUUACUAAAGAAAGGAACGCUGCAGAGACUGCUGAACACAUAUCUACCAGCUGCCUGCAUAACUUAAUGCCUUGGAGCAUCAAGAAGGACGGUUUAUCACAGAAUGCAAGAAUUUAAUUCGUCAGUGAGAGGAUCAUACAGUACAGUGACUGAUCAGGAUCUUAACCAGGUCAUUUUAUCUAUCAAGCAUCAAAUGCUGGCUACUAAUGGUCCAAGGACAUUUGGUCUCCAUAUUCAGUGGUGGAGGAUGACGGCUUCAGUGCACCGAGUUGAUGCUGCGGGGAUCUUCUCACGUAUCACAAGUGCAUUAUGGGAACAAGCUAUUCUGUGUGAGGCGCACUCUCCCUGCUCCACAUCAACACUAAGCACAAAUUAAUAAGAUUUUACACUUGAUGCAGCAACAGAAAACAGCAAAAACAGCUUUUUCAUUCUUUCACAGAGCAACCCAGUUUUAUGGAUUACCUUCAAGGGAGUUGAGAACGUGGACAUUGCACGUUUCACGUUGGCCAAACGGGGAACGGAGAGCGAGCUUCACCUGUGGAAACAGUUUUCAUAAUCAGAGGUCUAGUUCUUUGGAUAUUCUUAAAUUUCAGCUGACCGCAUUUUUGUAGACUACAAUGUGUGUUUUUUAAUUAUUUAAAAGAAAAUGCAGUGCUACAUAAAUAUUUGAAUUUGUAAUUGGAGAAUUGAACAACUAUGGAGUGAUGUCUGGGUUGCAGUUACUAGCAAGUACCAUAGCAUUCAACACUUUCUGGAGGAGGAAGGUCACAUUUCUGAUGGUGUUUAGCUAUUUAGUGUCUGCUACAUCUUUGUCCCAUGACUGAAGGUGGUCCUUGAAAUCCUUGUGAGAGGAUGGAUUAACCAUCCUCUACAGACAGAAGGACUGACCCCUGAACAGCUGUGGUCUUUGGGACAUCUCCAGGAUCUAGAGGAUGGGGAGAGACUUGAGGUAAAGAUAAGAGAUGCAUAAAAUAAGUUUUAAUAGUUGUGCUGCUUAAAAAGACUGAAAACCAGAUAUCUGAUGUCUGCUUCAAUCUGUCUUUUAACUUCCAGAAAAUGCAGUGGUCUACGUUUUUUAAAUCUAAAAUCCAUAAUUCCUUUGAAUUAAAUGGUGGUGGGAGGCAUACAACAAAUAUAAACAGUCAUCAGCAGUUAAGG